CUCCCCUCAUGACAACUCAGCCAUGGGAACCACACUCCGCUGCUGGGUGGUCGUCUGGCUCCUGUGGGCAGGUCCCACGAGUCCCAGCAGCGUCACACAGAACCCAAGACACCUGGUCCUGGGGAGAGGACAGGAGGCAAAUCUGACAUGCCACCCGGUGGAAGGCCACAUUUAUGUCUACUGGUAUCGGCAGCUCCUGCAGGAAGGGCCGAAAUUCAUGAUUUACCUCCGGAGAGAAGAAAUCCUGGACGAGUCAGGAAUGCCAACAAAACGCUUUUCGGCUGACUUUCCCAAAGAGGGGCCCAGCCUCUUUAAGAUCCAGCUGGCGGAGCUGGGCGACUCCGCAGUGUAUUUCUGUGCCAGCUCCUCCUCCACACCAAUUCAAAGUCACAUCCUCCCAGGGCACAAACAUCCUCCAGGCUUCGCCCUGGCACAGCCCCAGCUGCUGGGGGUGGGUCAGGGCCACAGCCAGGGAAGGGACUUGGCUUCUGACUACUGGACAAAUUACUUGUGAAGCAUUUUUAAGGGUGAGGGUGGGAAUAGGGGAGGGCUGUAGAAAUAGCAAGGAACUUCCCAGCCCCAUUCACAAACUAAGACUGUCAUUCACAAAAGGUGACAUAAUUUGUCAGAUUAA